rnacentral:misc_RNA from 1 species
GGGUCGGGCCGGGCUGGCU